AGUUGAAGGAAAACAUACGUGAAUGAGGAAUUGACGACUCCCUCCUUCUUAUCCUUCUCCAUUUUAAUUAAGAAAGCGUCCACAAAGUCCUCACCUUCGUCACUGAUUACA
rnacentral:snoRNA from 1 species